UUAUUGGCACCUCCCAAAACAAAUCUCUAUCAUUAAUCAUAAAGCCCAAUCGAUAUUGGCACCUCCCAAAACAAAUCUCUAUCCUUAACCAUAAAGCCCAAUCGUUAUUGGCACCUCCCAAAAGAAAUCUCUAUCAUUGACCAUAAAGCCCAAUCGUUACUGGAACCACCCAAAACAAAUCUCUAUCAUUAACCAUAAAGCCCAAUCGCUAUUGGC
rnacentral:lncRNA from 1 species